GGGACACGUGGUAUCCUGUCUGAAUAUGGGGGGACCAUCCUCCAAGGCUAAAUACUCCUGACUGACCGAUAGUGAACCAGUACCGUGAGGGAAAGGCGAAAAGAACCCCGGCGAGGGGAGUGAAAAAGAACCUGAAACCGUGUACGUACAAGCAGUGGGAGCACGCUUAGGCGUGUGACUGCGUACCUUUUGUAUAAUGGGUCAGCGACUUAUAUUCUGUAGCAAGGUUAACCGAAUAGGGGAGCCGAAGGGAAACCGAGUCUUAACUGGGCGUUAAGUUGCAGGGUAUAGACCCGAAACCCGGUGAUCUAGCCAUGGGCAGGUUGAAGGUUGGGUAACACUAACUGGAGGACCGAACCGACUAAUGUUGAAAAAUUAGCGGAUGAC
rnacentral:rRNA from 1 species